UACGUAGGGUGCAAGCGUUGUCCGGAAUUAUUGGGCGUAAAGAGCUCGUAGGCGGUCUGUCGCGUCGGAUGUGAAAGUCCAGGGCUCAACCCUGGACCUGCAUUCGAUACGGGCAGACUAGAGUUCGGUAGGGGAGACUGGAAUUCCUGGUGUAGCGGUGAAAUGCGCAGAUAUCAGGAGGAACACCGGUGGCGAAGGCGGGUCUCUGGGCCGAAACUGACGCUGAGGAGCGAAAGCGUGGGGAGCAAACAGG
rnacentral:rRNA from 1 species